CAGCAUGCUUGAUUUGAGCUAUAUGAAUACCCUCCAACUAUGCAGAGGGAGCGAGAAUGAUAGGCCCCAAGAGGCCCACUUACCCUGUCUUCCAAAGAGCACUAAGCUACUAUAACUCACAGCACCAGUAGAUGUUGUCUAGGAGCAAGUUAUUUGGAAAUUCCUUGUUCCACCCAGCUUUCUCCCAAAUCUUUUAGCCCUGUGUUAUGUGCAUAUUCAUGUCAGACUUUUUAUGUACUGCUACUGUUUUAGGACAGCAUGUAUUGCUCAUAUGCAAAUGAGCCUGAACCAACAAAAGUCAGACCAAAACUAAUAGAACAUUGCAAGUAACCACAGAUGACAGCCAUUGGGUUUCCUACAGCUAUCAAAAAGUUCAGUUUACUGAAUCCACUUCUAAUAUUUAGUGGGUACUGUUUAAAUCCAUCAGCUUUAAGUGCAAUAACUAAAGGAAAACAUGGUUCCAAUUUUAAAUGCAUUUGGAGCACACUUUGCACUGUUUGAAUCUUUUAAAGGAAGUUCUCUGCCCAAAUGAUGUUCAUUUAGGUGGUUAUGUCAAAACUGUUAGAAGAAUGGAGGGGAAUUUGGGAAAUGCAAUGCAAUGCUAAUGCAGUGCUGGAAGCUAUUCAUGCAAGAUGUAGCAUUGCUUAAUUCAGGAACAAUUCACUCAAAUCGAAUACACCCAGCAGGAGACUUUACAAUGCAUGACCUUUUGAAUAUUCUUCCCUGUAUUGAUGCCCUUCUCGUCAUCAGAGUGACAGGCAAACAACUGCUGGAAGCUCUUGAAAAUGGAGUUUAUAGAUACCCAGCUCUUGAUGGAAGGUAUGAAGUAUAUAUUUUUUUAAGUGCCUCUUCCUCCGACUCCUGAACUCCUCUGAAAAUGGAUUUUUAAUGUUGUAACAGUCAGCAUUUAUCAAUUUCCAUAUUGCAUGCAAAUUAUACUAUUCUUACUCUCUGAAUUUAUGUCACACUAAACUAUGGUUUAGUGCUAUGCACAUUAGCUGGAAUGAACUGAAGUGAAGGCCUGGAUUUGCAUGCUUCCCCUCCCCUCCUCCUUAGUUGCCUGGAGAAGGACUUUGCCAGCAUUUAGUUUCACUUUCACAGAAUCUUGGCAUCUAAUAUAGGAAUGGGGGAGAAACUGGAUUCCAUUUGCAUUUAAAGGUGAACCUACCAAGUUUACUUUCUGAAACAAUUGAAAUACACUCAUCUUUUGAAAUGUGAGCUUUUGAGAAUUUUGUGAUGUAGUUCCCCAAUCAAGUACAGUUGUACCUCGGAAGUUGAACGGAAUCCGUUCCAGAAGUCUGUUCGACUUCUGAAAUGUUCGGAAACCAAGGCACGGCUUCCAAUUGGUUUCCAAUUGUGCAGGUGCGCCGGAAACAAUAGUGGAAGCCACGCCAGAUGUUUGGCUUCCAAAAAAAAGUUCAGAAACUGGAACAGUCACUUCCGGUUUUUGAUUGUUUGGGAGCUGGAACGUCUGAUUCCCAAGGUGUUUGGGAGAUGAGGUACGACUGUAAGGUGUAUAAAAGUGCAUACACUGCAGUAAACUGUGCAUAAGAAUGCAUAUAUUCAUGAGAAAAACAUACUGAAAUGUAUUAUAUUAAGGAAAAUUGCUUUGCACAAAUUUGUAUAUUAGGAAUAUAAAAUGUAUACAUUAGGAGAAAUUAAUAUUUUAAAAUGUUUUGCAAACUGAUACAGAAAUGUGGAGAAUUGAACUUAAGAAUGGAAAAAUGAGAAUCUUGACAGAUUUGUCCAUCCGUAUAUGUGAUUGCAUAUGAACCAACUCUUGAAUCAAAAGUAUCAACGGCUUGGGGAGGAGGGACAUAGGUCAGUGGUAGAGCAUAUGCUUUGCCUACAAUAAUGAGAGUUAGAAACCUCCUCGUGGAGAUAAGAAUGCCAGAGGCUGCACUAAACAUUAUGUUUUGCACCUACCGUAUGUGGCAAACCACUUUUUUAUGGAAGACAAAUAGCCAGUUGCACUUUAACGCAAAAGAGAGUGAGACAAGGCUUUGCUGUGCCUCUCAGCUAGCAAUUGGAGCUCAACUCCCAUGCCAGCUCUCUAUGAAGCCAAUGCAGAUUUGUUCUGAAAUCCAGUGCAGCUGUGUGCAAAGUUCUUUCAGUCUCACACUUGCUUUAAUCGGCUCCUGCCUGUGUACAUUCCAAACACCUGUGCUCUGUGCUGUAUUUCAUGUUUGGAAACUAGAGUGUCUUGCUAAAUUUAAUAGGUCAAGGCAGGCUUCUUGGAUAGUGCACUAGGGGUAGCUGAAAUUAGAGGAAGGCUAGAGAAAGAGCUCACAGAGGUGGAGCAGGAACUGUUAUCUGCAUGGCAUUAUUAAUCAAUGUGUGUUAAAUGUUAGCACAUGGAGGAAUAGAUUGUAUUGAUCUUGAAAGAGGGCUGAAAUGUGGAGAAUAUUAAUGAGUGAGUUUAUUCAUCAUAAUAUAAAAUAUAAACUGUUUUUAUUAACAUUUAGGUUUCCUCAAGCAGCAGGAAUAGAAUUUGGAUUUGAUCCAAAUGCAGAACCAGGGCAUUUUAAAAGACUCUGUAAAAAAUCAAGGAUGGUAUUUAAAGCAAAAUCAGAUCUAUCAACUUGCUGUUAAGGAAUACUUAGCUAAUGUAAGCAUUUCUUUUAAUAUGCUAUUUUGAACUAUAGUGGUGCUUAUUUCAUUUGACAAAACUAUUUCUUAUGACCAUACCACGUUGGAAGGAAAUAACAACUGGUGGACAAGCGAGGCAAUGGAAGACAUUUAUGAUAGGAAUUACAAAAACUUCUUACCUGAAAAUUGUGAAGGUGACAUCAAUGACAAUCUUUCAUGAGUGGUUUAAGUAAUAGUCUGACCUGGGAUAAGGUAUCUUCGUGUCCAGGACUUUAUAGUGAAAUGCAAGUUGUAGCUAAUAUAGUAUGUGUACAACUUGGUACGUGUUUAAACAUUCCACAUUCUUCAACCAUUUCUAUUUUCACUUACAUUUUGUAUCACAUCAUAGUCUUCAUCAUUCAUAAAAAUGUAAUAAAGUACACACCUGCUAAUCUAGCUGAUUAUCAUUGUUAUCAAUAAUAAUUGUUAAUGUUUAUUAGACUCAACUGGUUAUUGACCAAAAUAAAUAAAUACUCUACUCUGUUUAUUAGACUUGUUAGUUGCCUGUUACCUGAAAGUCUCCAAGCAAAUUACAAGACAUUUGAAAACAUUAAUAAGAAUACAUCAUGCCUGUGGUUCCCAUUUUUUUCAUCCUGCAGACCACAUAAAAAAUUCUGAGGGUCAUGGCAGACCACUUAGUGCAACUUUAAUGCACUGUGCCAGAUGCUGUAUUAUUUUUAAUUGUAUUUUUUCAGACGUGUGGACCACCUGAUGAACCUCGUGGAGCACUAACGGUCCAUGGACCACAGUUAGGGAACCCUUGCAUUAUACCAUCGAAAUGAAACACUACCCAUAACAGCCAUAGGAAGCUUUGGCAGGUAAGUUGCUGUUGCGGCAGAGAGGUUGGCACAAUGCAAACACACUUGCAGGCCCACUGGAUUCGCUUCACAAUUGUGUUUGCUCUGCACUGAGAUCCCCGCCCCUUUCCCCGUUUCUCCAAGUAAGCAACAGCAACUGACCAGCAGCUUUCCCUCAUCUGACAAGACACUUCUGGAUGUAUCUCCACAUCUGCCCAUUUCUGGAGUGGAGGGAUGGAGGUGACACUGUGCAGGGGGUGGUGAGAGUGGGAAGGCAAGUCACAUGUAGUGCCAAGCAGGAAGCACUGCCUUAUUUGCCAGGGUGACACCCCUUUCCCCUGCCUUCAUUCACAGGUACAAAUGAUUUGGUGGAAGACAGCCCUGUCUCUAUGGUGGCAGGGAUGCCUUCCUACAUUCUUGUGAGAAUGGACACAACUGCAGAAAGGAGCAGAAAACAGAGUCUGUGCAACUUGGACACCAUUUGUUCUAAAUUAAUAUUUCAGUGUUUCACAAACUUACUUUUUAUUUAUGUGGAAUUUUAUUUUUAAUAUUGAAUACACAAUUGAAAGCAAUAAUUGUGGAACAUAAUUUAAGAUGAAAACAACAGAAAAUUGAAAACUAUAACCUAACAAAGAUUCUUGUCCAAAGCCAGCUCAUGCACUUUAUUCAAGGAAGCAGACUUCCCCAUUUAUAUCCCCAUCUGUUUGGGGAAGCAUGUGCCCAACUGGGUGCAGGAUGCUCAGUUUCCCACUUUGAUUUAACAGAUGAGGCUAUGCACACAGCCCUUUCAAAGACAUUAAAAUGCUUCCACCCAGGGGUCAGGUGUACCACAGAUGCUGCGAAGUACCCUUUUAAUGACGGUCUCUCCACAUUUGCCUUAUGGUGUCAUAUAUACACCAUAUUCUAAUUGAAGCUAAAGGAAAUGUUGGAGAUAAAUUUAACAAAUAUACUAAACAAACCUGGUAAAUAUCACAUAUGAAUAUUUAGAUUUCGAAGCUGCACUCAAAGAGCAUUGCUCUAUGAGUAAUGCCAAACUGAAUGUUUACACUGGAUAUAUUUGAGUCUUCAUCAUUCUUAGUUUGCCAGUAAAUCUUCAUAUAAUCAUCCUUUAUUAUGCUCAUUGUGCAUAUAAUCAAAUGCACAUUUCAAAUAUGUAUUUAGAUGCCUGUAUCUUGAAAGAGUAUGUAUACUUGGGAACAAGUUUAAAGUCUGUGAUUUUUCAGGGAAAGGAUGGCUACAUGAAGUUUCAGAACUGCUCCAGGUUAUUUGAUACAGAAACUGCGCUGACACUUUCCACAGUAGUUAUUAAUCACUUUGACUCCGUCAAGAUUGUACGAGAAAUCAAGCAAUGCUUCUCUGGUCACUGAAUGAGUUUAAUUACAAAAUCCACACUCUCUUCAUUAAUAGGUAAAUAGAUAAUGGCAUGUUACAAAUAAGUAAGUAAUUUUGCCCAAAGGAAUGUUGUCCUAAAAUAAACCAUUGUGUAUUCCUCCAUAUAUCCCAUGUUAAUUAUUUUCUCUACUGGAAAUAUGUUGGGUUACCACUGCUUUUUCACUUAGCUAAAAGAAAAGAAGUAUAUGUCAGGUUGUUUCUCCUUUUAAGUCAAAAGGCAGGGUUGAAAGCUGGUCAUCUGACAUCUCAGGAAGGAAAUCCCUCCUUUCCAACCUCCUAAUCCUGCUCUCUGUCAGGUUGCGAGGCGGUGAUGGCUGGUGCCCAGUGAGCUUGGUAAGAUGAAAGGCAAGGAGACCAAUAGAUGGGGGAGCUGGAACCAAUGACAAGCAGAGUCAACUAAUUAUGCUUUUU